rnacentral:rRNA from 1 species
AAACGGGAAUGCUAAAACCGGAAUAGGUAGCAGACAAGCAUUUGACUGCUAUUAAAGUAGGCUAAGGCCAUGAACAUGGAUGGACCUGCGGUGCAUUAGCUAGUUGGUGAGGUAACGGCCCACCAAGGCGACGAUGCAUAGCCGGCCUGAGAGGGCGGACGGCCACAUUGGGACUGAGACACGGCCCAAACUCCUACGGGAGGCAGCAUG